rnacentral:rRNA from 1 species
GAGCACGUAGGUGGGUUUGUAAGUCAGGUGUGAAAGCCUUCUGUUCAAAGGAAGAACGGCAUCUGAAACUGCAGAUCUUGAGUGUAGGAGGGGAGAGUGAAACUUCUGGUGGAGCGGUGAAAUGCGUAGAUAUCAGAAGGAACGUCGGCGGCGAAAGCGACUCUCUGGCCUAUUACUGACACUGAGGUGCGAAAGUUAGGGGAGCAAACGGGAUUAGAUACCCCGGUAGUCCUAACCGUAAACGAUGGGCACUAAGUAGAGGGAAUUACCAAUGUUCUCUCUGCCGUAGCUAACGCAUUAAGUGCCCCGCCUGGGGAGUACGGCCGCAAGGCUAAAACUCAAAAGAAUUGACGGGGGCUCGCACAAGCGGUGGAGCAUGUGGCUUAAUUCGAUGCAACGCGAAAAACCUUACCGGGGUUUGACAUGAUAGAAGUAGGAACCCGAAAGGGCAACCAACGGUAUCCAGCCCGUAGCUAUCACAGGUGUUGCAUGGCUGUCGUCAGCUCGUGUCGUGAGACGUUGGGUUAAGUCCCCUAACGAGCGAAACCCUUGUUUUUAGUUACCAUCGGGUAGUGCCGGGUACUCUAAAAAGACUGCCGUCGUCAAGACGGAGGAAGGUGGGGAUGACGUCAAGUCAUCAUGGCCCUUAUACCCCGGGCUGCACACGUGCUACAAUGGUCGGUACAAAAGGAUGCAAGACCGAGAGGUGAAGCGAAUCC